rnacentral:rRNA from 1 species
CAGUAGCCACGGUAAUACGUAGGUGGCAAGCGUUGUCCGGAAUUAUUGGGCGUAAAGCGCGCGCAGGCGGUUUCUUAAGUCUGAUGUGAAAGCCCCCGGCUUAACCGGGGAGGGUCAUUGGAAACUGGGAGACUUAGAGUGCAGAAGAGGAGAGUGGAAUUCCAUGUGUAGCGGUGAAAUGCGUAGAUAUAUGGAGGAACACCAGUGGCGAAGGCGACUCUCUGGUCUGUAACUGACGCUGAGGCGCGAAGGCGUGGGGAGCAAACAGGAUUAGAUACCCCUGUAGUCCCUGUCUCUUAUA